GGAAGAUCUGUAGCUCAUUUGUAGAUCAUCUGCUUCACAUGCAGGAAGUCUCAGGUUCAAACCCUGGCAUCUCCA